AGCGUCUUCGCACGCGCUUUUGACCGCUGGUCAACAGUCAUACCUAUGACUUUCACGCAGACCGAUUCUUUCACCACCGCCGAUAUCAGGAUCGGGUUUUUUAGUGGUGACCACGGUGACGGAGAGCCGUUUGAUGGGGUUUUGGGGACUUUGGCCCACGCUUUCUCCCCGCCAAGCGGGCGGCUUCAUUUGGACCUCGAUGAGAACUGGGUGGACUCCGGCGAUGUUAGCACCUCGCCGAUAUUAUCGGCGGUGGAUCUAGAGUCAGUUGCCGUGCACGAAAUUGGGCAUUUGUUAGGGUUGGGACAUUCCUCCGUUGAAGAGGCGAUCAUGUACCCUAGCAUUCCUUCACGAACGAGAAAGGUUGAAUUGGCGCAAGACGAUAUCGACGGGAUACAGCAGCUUUACGGUAAGAACCCGAAUUAUAACGGGACGUCAACCUCGUCCAUUCAGGAGAGGGAGACCAGUGGGGCCGAUUAUGUACAUUCUAGGUGGAGCCUUAUCAGUUUCUUGAUGCGUGUUGGAUUUCUUUUGCUGCUUUUGUAAUUUUUUUAUUAUUAUUUUGAAUUUGUUGGAUUUAUUUGUAUGCAGAUACUGUCACAGUAUACCAUAUACCAUUUUUACGAUUUAUAUUAUUAUUAUUAUAUAAAAA
rnacentral:misc_RNA from 1 species